UACAUUUCAUGGAAAUGACUCUAACGCAAAAGGAAAAUUGCAAGAAUACUUUUUGUAAAAAAAAAAAAUUCUCAUACCAUCAUAUUUUAGGAAUUACUUUUUUUUUAUAAGUUAUUUGAAUGUGGAUAAUAGAUGUAAUGACCAAUUUUGGCCCGGGCCCGCUAAAACAAACCCCAAACCUAUAUAUAUAAAAUAAAUAAUAAUAAUAAUAACACGGUCCAAUUACAGAAACCAAUAGCCCAAACUAACAGCCCCAAACCAGCUACAUAACCCCUAGCCCAACAAUUAAACCUAACCCACACUUACAAGGCCCGAUAGGCCCAAAAUAUUAAAAUUAGACAGAGCCCUAGCUGUCUACUUGCGCCGCAGCAGUCCGAGCCCCCCAGCGCCUCCGUCCACGCCAACCCUGGCCACCGUACGCCAGCACAGCCCUCGUACGCCACGCACGCACUCCGUACCUGCAAACAGACAAGGCAAAACAAAAAAUACGAACAAAAAAAACAGCGGGGCAGUAGCAAAUAGGGAAUAUUGUAUUAUUUUUCUCUUAUUUUCUUCCUUUUUCGCCUAUAAAGGCCUAAAAAAAUCAUUGUAUUGAGACUACGAAUAGAUUCAACAAAAAAAGAACAAUCAAAUAUAUAAAAUCGAUCAAGGUGAUUUUUCGAUUAAAAUCUCGGAUUUCUUUUAGUUUCGUUCGCCUGGGUUUUGUGUUCAUAUAUUCGAAAGAAAAAAAAGGGGCUUACCUUCGUUUUUGGUUCCCUCGAAUCCUCACUGGCUUCGUUGCAAUCGGAGUUUGGGUGUUGAUUCUGAGAUCUUUGAGCGUAGCCUUGGAUUCGUGAUUGGACGGAGCCUGAUUAGGCUUUAGCGUGAUGACCGGCGGCUAAACAUGGAGGCCAAACGGCAGUCCAAGGGCGCCUCUUGAUUCAGCCGAAUGAGAGGGGAAGAAAAGGGGCUUUAGGAUCUGUUUUGUUUUCUUUUCAAAUGGCCAAGAAUCAGUUUAGGGUUUGUUUAAAUUUUGGUUUCUAUAAAACGAAGGAAAUGACGUCGUUUUAGGCCAAUUCCUAUGGCUUCAAAACAGUGCCGUUUAAGAGCACCAACCCGAUGACCCGGCCCACGUUCGGACGAGACCCGCGCUUUUGGCCUUGGAGGGUUAAUUAUGCAUUAAGUCCUCUCCUUUUGCGUGCGCAUUCAAUCACGCCUUAUCUAUUCCGCUUCAUUUUUUAAAUUAGCCCUGUAAUUUGCGCGUGUUUGCGCUUUAGUCUGUGUCUCUGCUCUGCGUUUUAGAACUUGGGUUAUUUCCAAUUCUAGUCCUUUUACAUUGACGCGCAUCACACAUUGGCCCUCUUUUGAUUAUUUUAUUUAUAAACUAGCCUAUUCAUUUUAAUCGUAUUUUAAUUGAGUCCUUUUAAUUUAGUUCAUUAUCUUUUUAAUUCGUUUAGCAUUUAUUUUAUUUUCAUAUACAUUUUAAAUUAUUUUGAUAAUUCACUCUUUUAUUAUUAAACUAUUAUCUUAAAAUUACUUUGUAUAUCAUGUUGUGUCAAAAUUUUGUAUAAUAUUU
rnacentral:lncRNA from 1 species